rnacentral:lncRNA from 1 species
AUUAUUCGAUUUAAAUUGCACUAAAGUAUAUGAAUAGAGGUGAAUACAGUGAGCAACUGGGUCAUUUGUCUCACACCCAAAGAUAUUCAGAAUGGGGGUAGGAAUUCUCUAGUCUCAUUCCUUCUCUACUACUUAAGGCUCAUGACGCGAAACUUGCAUCAUAAUCGAUAAGUGUUGAAUUUGAAUUUCCUUGCAACUUCCUAUGAUGAAGGAUUGUCUUUCAAUGAUGCAGGGGCUUGUCAAUCAACUUGAAUCGAGUUGUGCUA